rnacentral:tRNA from 1 species
GGAGAGAUGUGAGAGUGGUUUAAUCAGCACGCUUGGAAAGUGUGUAAACAGGCAACUGUUUCGAGGGUUCGAAUCCCUCUCUCUCCGCCA